GUCCUUGUAGCACAAUGAAUAGCGCGUUGGACUUCUAAUCCAAUGCUCUUGGGUUCGAAUCCCACCUGGGAUG